rnacentral:rRNA from 1 species
UGCAUGUUUAUGAAGCGACUUGGUUGCGGAUUGAUAGACGGCUCAGUAAUACUGCGAUGAUUUGAUUGAUAAUUGUUUGUAACUACGGGAAACUGUAGGUAGGGAUGUGUAGGAUACGAUUGUAUGUGUGUUGAGUAAGUUGCAGGCCUAUCAACUGGUAGUUAGGGUAAUGGCCUAACUAGGUAGUGACGGGAGACGGGGGAUUAGGGUUUGAUUCCGGAGAGGGAGCCUGAGAGAUGGCUACUACGUCCAAGGAUGGCAGCAGGCGCGAAACUUGCCAAAUCUUUGUAAUAGGAGGCAGUGAUGAGACGUGAGGUUUUAGUGGUGCAUUGUAAAGAGAUGUACUGAUAUUGGAGGGCAAGUCGGGUGCCAGCAGCCGCGGUAAUACCUGCUCCGAUAGUGUCUAUGGUUAAUGCUGCAGUUAAAAAGUCCAUAGUUUUUAUUUUAGUUGUAUGUUUUGUGAUGCUUGUGUUUUAGGGGCUAUGGAUGUACAAAUAGUUGUGCGCAACGGAUGAGGGGCAUUGGAUAGUUGGGCGAGAGGUGAAAUGUGAUGACCCUGGCUGGACGAACUGAAGCGAAAGCGAUGCUCUUGGAUGGAUGUGUGGAUCAAGGACGAAGGCUGGAGGAUCGAAAUCGAUUAGAUACCGUUUUAGUUCCAGCAGUAAACGAUGCCGACUGGAUGGUGUUUGUAUGAGCACUGUGCGAGAGAAAAUGAUAAGUAUGUGGGUUUUGGGGAUAGUAUGUUCGCAAGAGUGAAACUUAAAGAGAUU